rnacentral:lncRNA from 1 species
GGAGUUUCCUUUAUUCUGCCAGUUACCUGGUGGACGACCCGACCUCCUAUUAAAACACUGUUGGUGUUUCCUUUAUUCUGCCAGUUACCUGGUGGUUGGUGGAGGACCUGGAGUUUCCUUUAUUCUGCCAGUUACCUGGUGGACGACCCGACCUCCUAUUAAAACACUGUUGGAGUUUCCUUUAUUCUGCCAGUUACCUGGUGGUUGGUGGAGGACCUGGAGUUUCCUUUAUUCUGCCAGUUACCUGGUGGAGGACCCGACCUCCUAUUAAAACACUUUAUGUUGCUGUUUCCUUCACAAGGUUCAUUUCCAUCUUGCUGUUUGUUGAAAGGUCAAGAUGUUUGGAUGUGUAUUUUAUUCUUCUGAUUGUUACAGAUUGGCUAAAUGCAGACAAAAUGCAACCCAAAACAGUCUUACCACAGUGUGCUUAUUGUGUGUGUGUGUGUGUGUGUGUGUGUGUGCGUGUGCUUAUUGUGUGUGUGUGUGUGUUGCGUCAGGUCUGCUUUCACCUAGUUAUGUAUAGCUGUUGUGUUUCAAUGUCAAAGUAUUAUUCAGGUCCUGAGGGCCAAAACAUUUCUGCUUUCUCUUCCUACCUGAUGUCCCCAGGUCUGAAUGAGUCUCUCUACCUGAUGUCCCCAGGUCUGAAUGAGUCUCUCUACCUGAUGUCCCCAGGUCUGAAUGAGUCUCAGGUCUGAAUGAGUCUCUCUACCUGAUGUCCCCAGGUCUGAAUGAGUCUCUCUACCUGAUGUCCCCAGGUCUGAAUGAGUCUCUCUACCUGAUGUCCCCAGGUCUGAAUGAGUCUCUCUACCUGAUGUCCCCAGGUCUGAAUGAGUCUCUCUACCUGAUGUCCCCAGGUCUGAAUGAGUCUCUCUACCUGAUGUCCCCAGGUCUGAAUUAGUCUCUCUACCUGAUGUCCCCAGGUCUGAAUGAGUCUCAGGUCUGAAUGAGUCUCUCUACCUGAUGUCCCCAGGUCUGAAUGAGUCUCAGGUCUGAAUGAGUCUCUCUACCUGAUGUCCCCAGGUCUGAAUGAGUCUCUCUACCUGAUGUCCCCAGGUCUGAAUGAGUCUCUCUACCUGAUGUCCCCAGGUCUGAAUGAGUCUCUCUACCUGAUGUCCCCAGGUCUGAAUGAGUCUCAACCUGUUGUCCCCAGAUCUGAACGAGUCUCGGGUCUGAACGAGUCUCGGAUUACAGGUAGAGGAUGAGAACCAGUAGUGUUUCGUCCCUCCAGGACCAGAAAGAAAUAGCCCUUGGCUAGAUUCAAUCUGAUCCGCAGAAGAUCCGGGUUAUAGUUCACCUUUAAAAAAAACCAAAAAGGUAAUUUACGAUUGAGCCUACUGUUAACGUGGAAACUUUACCUUUUAAUAAGGUGCACAGCCGAAAAGAGGAGAUCGGAUUUGAAUCUAGGAACAGCUUCCUCCCUCCCUCCAGUCCUAACGAGGGGUGAGAGAUAUAUAUAUAUAUGGGUCCCGUGUGGCUCAGUUGGUAGAGCAUGGGUGUUUGCAACGCCAGGGUUGUGGGUUCGAUUCCCACGGGGGACCAAUACGUGGGGGGGGGGGGAAAUGUCUGAAAUGUAUGCAUUCACUACUGUAAGUCGCUCUGGAUAAGAGCGUCUGCUAAAAUAACUAAAAUGUAAAUGUUAAUAACUGAUCUAGGAUCAGUUUCCUCCCUCCAGUCCUAACAGGUCACCAUUAGAGAGGUGAUAUAUAUAACUGAUCUAGGAUCAGUCCUAACAGGUCACCAUUAGAGAGGUGAUAUAUAUAUAUAACUGAUCUAGGAUCAGUCCUAACAGGUCACCAUUAGAGAGGUGAUAUAUAUAUAUAACUGAUCUAGGAUCAGUCCUAACAGGUCACCAUUAGAGAGGUGAUAUAUAUAUAUAUAUAUAUAUAUAUAACUGAACUAGGACCAGUGUUAAACAGAGCUGAAUGUCUGUCUGGUUCAUACCAUUUAUGAUGCUGAUGUAUUGUUAUUAUAAU